GAAACCGGAGGAAGGUGGGGAUGACGUCAAAUCAUCAUGCCCCUUAUGUCCUGGGCUACACACGUGCUACAAUGGGGGAUACAACGAGUUGCGAACCCGCGAGGUCAAGCUAAUCUCUUAAAGUCGUUCUCAGUUCGGAUUGCAGUCUGCAACUCG
rnacentral:rRNA from 1 species